ACCGAAUUCAGACAAACUCCGAAUGCCAAUUAAUUUAACUUGGGAGUCAGAACAUGGGUGAUAAGGUCCGUGUUCGAAAGGGAAACAGCCCAGACCACCAGCUAAGGUCCCAAAAUAUAUGUUAAGUGGAAAAGGAUGUGGCGUUGCCCAGACAACUAGGAUGUUGGCUUAGAAGCAGCCAUCAUUUAAAGAGUGCGUAAUAGCUCACUAGUCGAGUGACACUGCGCCGAAAAUGUACCGGGGCUAAACAUAUUACCGAAGCUGUGGAUUGUCCUUUGGACAAUGGUAGGAGAGCGUUCUAAGGGCGUUGAAGCAUGAUCGUAAGGACAUGUGGAGCGCUUAGAAGUGAGAAUGCCGGUGUGAGUAGCGAAAGACGGGUGAGAAUCCCGUCCACCGAUUGACUAAGGUUUCCAGAGGAAGGCUCGUCCGCUCUGGGUUAGUCGGGUCCUAAGCUGAGGCCGACAGGCGUAGGCGAUGGAUAACAGGUUGAUAUUCCUGUACCACCUAUAAUCGUUUUAAUCGAUGGGGGGACGCAGUAGGAUAGGCGAAGCGUGCGAUUGGAUUGCACGUCUAAGCAGUAAGGCUGAGUAUUAGGCAAAUCCGGUACUCGUUAAGGCUGAGCUGUGAUGGGGAGAAGACAUUGUGUCUUCGAGUCGUUGAUUUCACACUGCCGAGAAAAGCCUCUAGAUAGAAAAUAGGUGCCCGUACCGCAAACCGACACAGGUAGUCAAGAUGAGAAUUCUAAGGUGAGCGAGCGAACUCUCGUUAAGGAACUCGGCAAAAUGACCCCGUAACUUCGGGAGAAGGGGUGCUCUUUAGGGUUAACGCCCAGAAGAGCCGCAGUGAAUAGGCCCAAGCGACUGUUUAUCAAAAACACAGGUCUCUGCUAAACCGUAAGGUGAUGUAUAGGGGCUGACGCCUGCCCGGUGCUGGAAGGUUAAGAGGAGUGGUUAGCUUCUGCGAAGCUACGAAUCGAAGCCCCAGUAAACGGCGGCCGUAACUAUAACGGUCCUAAGGUAGCGAAAUUCCUUGUCGGGUAAGUUCCGACCCGCACGAAAGGCGUAACGAUUUGGGCACUGUCUCAACGAGAGACUCGGUGAAAUCAUAGUACCUGUGAAGAUGCAGGUUACCCGCGACAGGACGGAAAGACCCCGUGGAGCUUUACUGUAGCCUGAUAUUGAAAUUCGGCACAGCUUGUACAGGAUAGGUAGGAGCCUUUGAAACGUGAGCGCUAGCUUACGUGGAGGCGCUGGUGGGAUACUACCCUAGCUGUGUUGGCUUUCUAACCCGCACCACUUAUCGUGGUGGGAGACAGUGUCAGGCGGGCAGUUUGACUGGGGCGGUCGCCUCCUAAAAGGUAACGGAGGCGCUCAAAGGUUCCCUCAGAAUGGUUGGAAAUCAUUCAUAGAGUGUAAAGGCAUAAGGGAGCUUGACUGCGAGACCUACAAGUCGAGCAGGGUCGAAAGACGGACUUAGUGAUCCGGUGGUUCCGCAUGGAAGGGCCAUCGCUCAACGGAUAAAAGCUACCCCGGGGAUAACAGGCUUAUCUCCCCCAAGAGUUCACAUCGACGGGGAGGUUUGGCACCUCGAUGUCGGCUCAUCGCAUCCUGGGGCUGUAGUCGGUCCCAAGGGUUGGGCUGUUCGCCCAUUAAAGCGGUACGCGAGCUGGGUUCAGAACGUCGUGAGACAGUUCGGUCCCUAUCCGUCGUGGGCGUAGGAAAUUUGAGAGGAGCUGUCCUUAGUACGAGAGGACCGGGAUGGACAUACCUCUGGUGUACCAGUUGUCGUGCCAACGGCAUAGCUGGGUAGCUAUGUGUGGACGGGAUAAGUGCUGAAAGCAUCUAAGCAUGAAGCCCCCCUCAAGAUGAGAUUUCCCAACUUCGGUUAUAAGAUCCCUCAAAGAUGAUGAGGUUAAUAGGUUCGAGGUGGAAGCAUGGUGACAUGUGGAGCUGACGAAUACUAAUCGAUCGAAGACUUAAUCAA
rnacentral:rRNA from 1 species